rnacentral:rRNA from 1 species
UUAGAGUUUGAUCCUGGCUCAGGAUGAACGCUGGCGGCGUGCUUAACACAUGCAAGUCGAACGAAGCACCGGAAGCUUGCUUUUGGUGACUUAGUGGCGGACGGGUGAGUAACGCGUGGGUAACCUGCCUCACACAGGGGGAUAACAGUUGGAAACGACCGCUAAUACCGCAUAACCCGCUAGGGCCGCAUGGCCCGGACGGAAAAGGUUUAUCGGUGUGAGAUGGACCCGCGUCUGAUUAGAUAGUUGGCAGGGUAACGGCCUACCAAGUCGACGAUCAGUAGCCGGCCUGAGAGGGUGAACGGCCACAUUGGGACUGAGACACGGCCCAAACUCCUACGGGAGGCAGCAGUGGGGAAUAUUGCACAAUGGGGGAAACCCUGAUGCAGCGACGCCGCGUGAGUGAAGAAGUAUUUCGGUAUGUAAAGCUCUAUCAGCAGGGAAGAAAAUGACGGUACCUGACUAAGAAGCCCCGGCUAACUACGUGCCAGCAGCCGCGGUAAUACGUAGGGGGCAAGCGUUAUCCGGAUUUACUGGGUGUAAAGGGAGCGUAGACGGCAGGGCAAGUCAGAAGUGAAAGCCCGGGGCUCAACCCCGGGACUGCUUUUGAAACUGUCCGGCUGGAGUGCAGGAGAGGUAAGCGGAAUUCCUAGUGUACCGGUGACAUGCGUAGAUAUUAGGAGGAACACAGUGGCGAACGCGGCUUACUGGACUGUAACUGACGUUGAGGCUCGAAAGCGUGGGGAGCAAACAGGACUAGAUACGCUGGUAGUCCACGCAGUAUACGAUGCAUACUAGGUGUCGGGGAGCAUAGCUUUUCGUUGCAGCAGCAAACGCAAUAAGUAUUCCACAUGAGGGAGUACGAUCGCAAGAAUGAUACUCAAAGGAAUAGACGGGGACCCGCACAAACGUUGGAGCAUGUGGUUUAAUUUGAAGCUACGCGAAGAACUUUACCAAAUGAUAGACAUCCCACAUGACCGAUACAGUUAUGGGAUCAUUCGUUCGGGACAGUGGAGACAGUUGGCGCAUGGUCUAGAUCAGCUAGUGUCGCGAGAUGUUGGGUUAGGUCCCGCGUCGAGCUCAACCUUUACCUGUAGUACCCAUCAAGAAAGAUGGGCAUUGUAGAGGGGGUAGGCGGGAUCACUUGGAGGAAGGUGGGGAUAACGUCGUAUUAUCAUCCCCGAUAUGCAUUUGGGCUACACACGCAUUAGCCCUGGCGUGGACUAUAGGGAAGUGAGCCUGUGAGGGGGAGCAUAUCUCAGAGAUUAAGUCUCAGUACGGAUGGUAGUCUGCAACUUGAGUACAUGAAUCUGCAAUCGCUAGUAAUCGCGGAUCAGUAUGUCUCGCAGAAUACGUUCACCGGGUCUUGUACACACCGCCAGUCA